rnacentral:rRNA from 1 species
GCCUGCCCAGUGAUCAUAAUUUAACGGCCGCGGUAUCCUAACCGUGCAAAGGUAGCGCAAAGUUUUUAGUUGGGGCGACUUUGGAACAAACCUAAACUUCCAAGCCUAUCACUUACGGCGUACAUGCCUAAACCCGAACCACACGACCCAAUACAAUUGACCAACGAACCAAGUUACCCCAGGGAUAACAGCGCAAUCUUCUUCUAGAGUCCCUAUCGACAAGAAGGUUUACGACCUCGAUGUUGGAUCAGGAUAUCCAAAUAGUGCAGUCGCUAUUAAAGGUUCGUUUGUUCAACGAUUAAUAAUCCUACGUGAUCUGAGUUCAGACCGG